UUAAUUGAAGAGUUUGAUCAUGGCUCAGAUUGAACGCUGGCGGCAGGCCUAACACAUGCAAGUCGAGCGGCAGCGACAACAUUGAACCUUCGGGGGAUUUGUUGGGCGGCGAGCGGCGGACGGGUGAGUAAUGGCUGGGAACCUGCCUGGUAGAGGGGGAUAACCACUGGAAACGGUGGCUAAUACCGCAUGACGUCUACGGACCAAAGAGGGGGACCUUCGGGCCUCUCGCUACCGGAUGGGCCCAGUUGGGAUUAGCUAGUUGGUGGGGUAAAGGCUCACCAAGGCGACGAUCCCUAGCUGGUUUGAGAGGAUGAUCAGCCACACUGGAACUGAGACACGGUCCAGACUCCUACGGGAGGCAGCAG
rnacentral:rRNA from 1 species